UGAGCACUGGGUGUUGUACGGAAACCAAUUUGACAAUAAAUUUCAUAUAUUAAAAAAAAAAAUGAAAUGAGUGCCAUGGGGUCCAGGAAAAUGACUUCUUAAUGAGUAGGUUAGGAAUUCUUCCAGAUUACAAUGGGACUUGUGUAGGGUGACAGUGUUAUGCGUGCUUCUUUCUCUCCGUUUCCCCCACUUUUACCUGUUGUUGCAUGGCUCUCCCAUCAUUAUGAAAUUGCAGAGAACGAAGUUUGAGUGUGUGUCCAAGAAGGCAGGCGGUGCCUCAGUGCUGACCAGGACCUUGUCCAACCCAGCCUUCUCCUUUGGAAGGGGAAGGAGCUCUAAGUUGCAGUUCGGACCCUGAGCCUUAUGAAUCUUAGGGCUGUGAUAGGAACGGCGAACACUUUAGACGGAGCUGGCCCACAGACGCAGCACAACAGAGCCUCCCCCUGCAUGGAGGUGUCUCACAUUUUGACUUCAGCUUGCUAGAAUUCUCCAGCAUUCUGGAUACAAGUGCCGGAGCUGCAGAAUCCUGGGCUGCCUGGGCACUGGUGGCACGGGAACAAUCAGGAACGUCAGUGGUCCCUGAGAAACCUGUACAGGGAGUACUGCAAAAAUGAGGAUUGUAAACCCUCUCAGGCUCAGAGCUGGUGAAAAGCCACUCGAGGUUGCUGCUGUGCUGAACCUGUCGGACUGGACGGGAGAAUUCUGAGGGCCGUGUGGAGCUCGUUCACUACCAGGUAGACACAGGCAGUGUUACGUCACAGCUGAAACCCACCUGCGCGGCCAGCUGGCCAGGGAGGAAGGCACAGGUGUAGGUGAACGCUGGCAGCGCUCCAAGCAUGCCCUCUGGGGCCCUUCCGCUACCUCACACACAGGCGCCUGGCACGGUGGAAAGUGCCUGUGCCCAAGGACCAGGACACCUGCGUUUCCGCCUGCCCUUCUUCUGGGCUCCGUGAAUCCGAGCCAGUCACCCAGUCUCCCAGCUUAGAAAGAAGAAACAGGGAUGCCCGUUCCCUCCCCCUUCUCCGCAACGUCUCCAAGAACAUAGAAACGACCUGACCUGGCGUGCUUCCUGCUUCUGAAGGAGUGGCUGUGCGCUUUUAACGGGUUUUACCAUCAUCUGUGUGAACACAGCAAGGAUGUGAGAGAGAAAGCCAUUCUCCUGGCUCAGAUGCAGCCUUUCUUCCAUUACUCCUAUAGACACUGCCGCUGUGGGAGUUACUUCAAAGCAAGGGUGACAGAAUGUCUAGCUUCUGCCCCCGCCACCCGGGGCUCACGCAGCUUAGGCCUGUCAGGCCAGCCCGUCCUCCCGGUCAGCCCUGAAGCCCGCUGAGGUCACGGUUCCAGCUGCUACAGCCGUGGGGUUUUACCUCCGGAUAAUACCUCAUUCGCCGUACCGUGUUCAGCACAUAAUAAUGGAUGGGUGUAUGAAUUUAAUUGCCAGAAUUUUAGAGCUAAAAUAAUUAAUAAUAAUAGCAGUAAACCUGCUGUGUGUGCCAAGCAUGAUCCUGAGCACAUCUCACUUCGUUCCCACAACAACCCUGGGAGGCACAUGCUACAAUUAUUCUCUGUGAAGAGGAGCAAACAGACUCAGACAAAUUCAACAACUUUCUCUCCAUCACCAGAUCAUAAGCGGCAGAGCUAGGACUCAGGUCCAAGUGGUUUUGACUCCAGAAAUUAGAUCUUGGACCACAUCCUGGGAACUUCCUCCUAUUAUAUGCUCCUCGAAUACAAUAUGCUCCUAUACACAAUACACUCAUGUUAUUUUUAAGUAUUUAAAAAAA